rnacentral:rRNA from 1 species
AUUGAACGCUGGCGGCAGGCCUAACACAUGCAAGUCGAGCGAGCGGCGGACGGGUGAGUAAUGUAUGGGGACUGCCCGAUAGAGGGGGAUAACUACUGGAAACGGUAGCUAAUACCGCAUACUAUCGGAUAACCCAUAUGGGAUUAGCUAGUAGGUGAGGUAAUGGCUCACCUAGGCGACGGUCCCUAGCUGGUCUGAGAGGAUGAUCAGGCACACUGGGACUGAGACACGGCCCAGCGUCCAACGGAGGCAGGAGUGAGGAGUAUAGCACAAUGGGCGCAAGACUGAUGCAGCCAUGCCGCGUGUAUGAAGAAGGCCCUACAGUUGUAAAGUACUUUCAGUCGGGAGGCGUUACCGACAGAAGAAGCACCGGCUAACUCCGUGCCAGCCAGCGCGGUAAUAC